rnacentral:rRNA from 1 species
AUUGAACGCUGGCGGCAGGCCUAACACAUGCAAGUCGAACGAGUGGCGGACGGGUGAGUAAUGUCUGGGAAACUGCCUGAUGGAGGGGGAUAACUACUGGAAACGGUAGCUAAUACCGCAUACCAUCAGAUGUGCCCAGAUGGGAUUAGCUAGUUGGUGGGGUAACGGCUCACCAAGGCGACGAUCCCUAGCUGGUCGGAGAGGAUGACCAGCCAAACUGGAAGUGAGACACGGUCCAGACUCCUACGGGAGGCAGCAGUGGGGAAUAUUGCACAAUGGGCGAAAGCCUGACGCAGCAAGGCCGCGGGAAUGAAGAAGGUCUUCGGGUCGUAAAGUACUGUCAUUAGGGAGGCGUUACCUGCACAAAAAGCCCCGGCUAACUACGUGCCAGCAGCCGCGGUAAUAC